AGUGGAGAGCGGCGGACGGGUGAGUAACGCGUGGGAACCUACCCUUUGGUUCGGAAUAACUUUGGGAAACCGAAGCUAAUACCGGAUACGCCCCGUAAGGGGGAAAGAUUUAUUGCCGAAGGAGGGGCCCGCGUUGGAUUAGGUAGUUGGUAGGGUAAUGGCCUACCAAGCCGACGAUCCAUAGCUGUUCUGAGAGGAAGAUCAGCCACACUGGGACUGAGACACGGCCCAGACUCCUACGGGAGGCAGCAGUGGGGAAUCUUGGACAAUGGGGGAAACCCUGAUCCAGCCAUGCCGCGUGAAUGAAGAAGGCCUUAGGGUUGUAAAGUUCUUUUAGUGGGGAAGAUAAUGACGGU
rnacentral:rRNA from 1 species